AGAGUUUGAUCCUGGCUCAGAACGAACGCUGGCGGCGUGGAUAAGACAUGCAAGUCGAGCGCUGAUUACAGGGUAGCAAUAUUCUGUGGUCGGAGCGGCGCAAGGGUGCGUAACACGUGGGUAAUCUGCCAUGAAGUUUGGAAUAACUUGCUGAAAGGCGAGCUAAUACCGGAUGUUAAAAUUGGAAGGCAUCUUCUGAUUUUUAAAGCUGAAAAUCGUAAGACCUAACACUUCAUGAUAAGCCCGCGGCCUAUCAGCUAGUUGGUAAGGUAACGGCUUACCAAAACUAAGACGGGUAGCUGGUCUGAAAGGACGACCAGCCACACUGGAACUGAAACACGGUCCAGACACCUACAAAUAACAACAGUCGAGAAUUUUUCACAAUGGGCGCAAGCCUGAUGGAGCGACACCGCGUAAAAAAUAAAUGACUUCGGCCCGUAAACCCCUGUCAUUUACGAGCAAACGUUGUUAUUUAAAAGAUAACAACUUGAUAGUAGCGAAAGAGGAAAAAACAGCUAACUCUGUGCCAGCAGCCGCGGUAAUACAGAGGUCCCAAGCGUUGUUCGGAUUCACUGGGCGUAAAGGGUGCGUAGGUGGCGGGGUAAGUCGGAUGUGAAAGCUCGGAGCUCAACUCCGAAAUGGCAUUGGAAACUACCUUGCUCGAGGGUUGAAGGAAAGACUGGAAUGCUUGGUGUAGCAGUGAAAUGCGUAGAUAUCAAGCGGAACACCAGUGGCGAAGGCGAGUCCCUGGACAACUCCUGACACUGAGGCACGAAAGCUAAGGGAGCAAACAGGAUUAGAUACCCUAGUAGUCC
rnacentral:rRNA from 1 species